ACAAGCGGUGGAGCAUGUGGUUAAUUCGAAGCAACGCGAAGAACCUUACCAGGUCUUGACAUCCCUGACAACCAAGAGAUUGGGCGUUCCCCUUCGGGGGACAGGGUGACAGGUGGUGCAUGGUUGUCGUCAGCUCGUGUCGUGAGAUGUUGGGUUAAGUCCCGCAACGAGCGCAACCCUCGCCUCUAGUUGCCAGCAUUCGGUUGGGCACUCUAGAGGGACUGCCGGCGACAAGUCGGAGGAAGUGGGGAUGACGUCAAAUCAUCAUGCCCCUUAUGACCUGGGCUACACACGUGCUACAAUGGGCGGUACAAAGGGCUGCGAACCCGCGAGGGGGAGCGAAUCCCAAAAAGCCGCUCUCAGUUCGGAUUGCAGGCUGCAACUCGCCUGCAUGAAGUCGGAAUCGCUAGUAAUCGCGGAUCAGCAUGUCGCGGUGAAUACGUUCCCGGGUCUU
rnacentral:rRNA from 1 species